AACUGUCUAUGUUUAUAACAGUUUCCAUACUAACGUGUACUUCAUUACACUAUCAAUAUUAGCUUCGGUUAGCACCCACCUAUAGUCAGUCAAUCAGCGAAGUUCCGCCAGGCGUUGGGUAUUCCCUGCUUGUGUCAAUAUAUACAAAUCCAUGAACAAUAGGAUAGAGAGCUUGAUACUGUCUGUUGUGAAUGUGAUGACACCUUAGACAUUUUACAGAUCGUCAUUCGGUUAUCAG